AGUCGUAACAAGGUAUCCGUAGGUGAACCUGCGGAUGGAUCAUUACCGAAGCACACGCUCACGUCCUGUGAACCGAUAGAUCCUGGUUGGCGGCGCGCAAGGCCACACAGCCCGCGCGCCGCCGCCGCAACCCACGUAUGCACAGUCUGGAGUAUGCUGUUGACGCAACAGAGACAACUUUUAGCAAUGGAUCUCUAGGCUCUC
rnacentral:misc_RNA from 1 species